rnacentral:miRNA from 1 species
CUGGAUGUGCUCGUUGGUCAUA